UGGUAUGAAAGGUUUGACGAGAUAUUAACUGUUUCAUAAAAAUUUAUAGUAGAAUUUUAUUUUUUAGUCAAAAAGCUAAAAUGAAAUUAAAAGACGAGAAGACCCUAUAAAUCUUUAUACAUAGAUUAUUAGAAUUUUGUAGAUUUUUUUUAUUAUAAUAGUUAAUUGUAUUUUAUUGGGGUGAUAUUAAAAUUUAAUUAACUUUUAAUUUUUAAAGUCAUUAAUUUAUGAACAAUUGAUCCGUUAAUAACGAUUAAAAAAAUAAGUUACCUUAGGGAUAACAGCG
rnacentral:rRNA from 1 species